rnacentral:rRNA from 1 species
UACGGGGGGGGCAAGCGUUGUUCGGAAUUACUGGGCGUAAAGGGCUCGUAGGCGGCCAACUAAGUCAGACGUGAAAUCCCUCGGCUUAACCGGGGAACUGCGUCUGAUACUGGAUGGCUUGAGUGUGGGAGAGGGAUGCGGAAUUCCAGGUGUAGCGGUGAAAUGCGUAGAUAUCUGGAGGAACACCGGUGGCGAAGGCGGCAUCCUGGACCACGACUGACGCUGAGACGCGAAAGCCAGGGGAGCGAACGGG